GUUUAGGUAGCUUAAAUUUAAAGUAUAAUAUUGAAGAUAUUAGGAUGAGAAUAUUUCUUUCUAAAUA
rnacentral:tRNA from 1 species